rnacentral:rRNA from 1 species
UACGAACUGUGCAAACGUUAUUCGGAAUCACUGGGCUUAAAGGGUGCGUAGGCGGCUCGUUAGGUAGGGUGUGAAAGCCCCCGGCUCAACCGGGGAAUUGCGCCCUAAACCGGCGGGCUGGAGUGAGAUAGGGGUGUGCGGAACUUCCGGUGGAGCGGUGAAAUGUGUUGAUAUCGGAAGGAACGCCGGUGGCGAAAGCGACACACUGGGUCUCAACUGACGCUGAGGCACGAAAGCCAGGGGAGCAAACGGG